rnacentral:ncRNA from 2 species
AGUAAUGGAUGAGGAGCAGAAAUCAUCAGUACCUUAUUACGUAAAAUCUGUAAAUUGUAAUAAGCGAAAGGGAAAUUUGCCGAAACAAUGUUCUGUUUACAGACAGACAUCGUUGGACUGUAGAUUAAUAGUGUGCGGUCUGUCAUUAUUCUAGUAAUAAUGGAGUGCUUCCACUUGU